CUGACUCCUCGUGGAUGUGAGCCGCCUCCAUCUUUCUUAUAAUCACUCUAACUCCUUUUCUCUUUAAGCAUUUUCAAUCUCCAUCGUCAAUACAAGCACGGUCCAUUUCCUACCGGAGGUUUAUAUUUGGAUCUUUAUUGCGCCGUUGGGAACUAUUUUCCCCGAAUUAUCAUCCACGUGCCGCCGGCGCGCUUCUGCACUCAACUAGGUUUUCGCCUUCUGCCGAAUCCCUGAAGCAAAUUUGUUUGCUGAAACUCCUUCUUGGCCUAGGAAGAUAAAGAAGAAGAGAUAAUAAUAGAAUUCCUGAAGAAAAUUUGUUUGCUGAAACUCCUUCUCGGCCCAGGAAGAAAACCAUAGAUGGGCUAACGAUUUAUACAGAAGAGGAGUUGGGCAUUGGGAAGCUAGAUGCUGGAGGUACCCGUCUAUGCCCAUUCGACUGUGAUCGUUGUUUUUAAUGAAAUUAGUUUCCAGUGUAGAUUGGUAUUUCAAAUGCUUUCCUUAUUAACAUAUUUUUGAAGUACUUGAUGAACUAAUUCCUUGUUCUACUGAUGUUAUGGAAAGGUAAUAUGGAUUUCAGGAAAAAAAAAAAAACAGGUACUUUUGUUUUCAAAAUUCGAGUUUCACUUUUAUCUUGAAGAUUCCACCUGCUUCAGCUUGCUGCUGAGAGUUGCAGGGAUGAUCGGGAUUAGACUCAGCUUCAUAUUUGUGCUUGGAGUGAUCAGAAGGAGGUAAAUUUUGUCCCCUCCAUGAUAUCUUUCCUUGGGUAUUCUACAUUUACCUUUGAACUUCGCGUGUAACAUACUUUGUUGAGGGUCAGUUUGUACCCUUUUUUUUUAGUAAUCUAAUUGUUUAGUGUAUAGCUUUCUAUCAAGUAUAAAUAGCACUGUGAGAAAUCUUCCAUUUAGUAUGCUAUUAACAACGUGAAUAUAAAGGGUGACAUGGUGAUAGUUAUAUAUUUUUCUUAGAUUGCGGCAAUAGUCUCCAACUCUACAUUUGUUUUUUUUCUUUUUA